rnacentral:rRNA from 1 species
CGUGCAGGCGGUUGUUCAAGUCAUGCGUGAAAGCUCCCGGCUAAACUGGGAGAGGUCGGAUGAGACUGAACAACUAGAGGGUGCUAGAGGCAUGUGGAAUUCCGCGUGUAGUGGUGAAAUGCGUAGAUAUGCGGAGGAACACCGGUGGCGAAGGCGGCAUGCUGGGGCACACCUGACGCUGAGGCGCGAAAGCAUGGGUAGCGAACG